AUCCAAGCAAUAUUAGCUAAAGGGAGUACACAAAGAAGGACACCAUUUUUUCCCUCCCACUCCCCAUCUGUCGUGGAAAACACACAGGUUUUCCUCCACAGGUUGAAAAGAACCUUAUGUCCUUGGAGGACAGACUUACAGUGCAUUGCAACAACAGUGUGAACCUUCUUCCUACUCCUCAACCCACAGUCCUGUUUUGAAGGCUGCAUUCUGAGAAUAGGCUUCACCAUGAUGCUGUUGGAACAUAAGCUACCAUGUUAAACAAGCAUGGCAUGAGGCUGACUAAUCCUGGUGAACUGUGUGGUUAAAUAGCUGCUCCUUAGAAGCAGUAGUGAUUACAAGCCUUGUCCAGCACUACGAAUCAGAAUGUCUUCCCUCUUCUUUUGAAGACUCUGACCAAUGUGUGGUAGCAGCUUGUGAGUAGGAAGACGGAAGAAUCUCCAUCUCUUUUGGCAUCAUGGAACUGUCCUGCAUGGCUUACUUCCAGACUUUGUUAUGUGAGAGAGCAAUUUAUUUAAGCUGGAUAAUUGGGUUUCUUUCAUCCUAAGCCAAACAUAAUUCCAACUAUGGCUUUCUUUUCAAGUCAAAUCCAGUAUUUGGGAAGAGAAAUAAGGUACAAAGUAACCUUAUUAUCCAUGAAGACUUGUGCUUAGGGAUGUAGGUGGUCAUAAUAUGUAUGAUAAAGUUCCCUACGGCUAUUGUCCACUAGAAAGCACCAAUUUCUCACAAAGUCAAGAUCAAAGCCAGUAUUAUACUACAAUAAGUUUUCCCUGAUCUGCUGUUUACCAAG
rnacentral:lncRNA from 10 species